UACGUAGGGGGCAAGCGUUGUCCGGAUUUAUUGGGCGUAAAGAGCGUGUAGGCGGCCAGGUAGGUGGGUUGUGAAAACUGGAGGCUCAACCUUCAGACGUCGACCCAAACCCCCUGGCUAGAGUCCGGAAGAGGAGAGUGGAAUUCCUGGUGUAGCGGUGAAAUGCGCAGAUAUCUGGAGGAACACCGGUGGCGAAGGCGGCAUCCUGGACCGGUAUGACGCUGAGGCGCGAAAGCCAGGGGAGCAAAGCGGA
rnacentral:rRNA from 1 species